rnacentral:snRNA from 1 species
AGGCUCACUUUGCCAGCACAUACACUAAAACUGGAAUGAUACAGAGAAGAUUAGCAUGGCCCUUGUGCAAGGAUGACACACAAAUUUGUGAAGCAUUCCAUAUUAAA